UACGAAGGGGGCUAGCGUUGUUCGGAAUUACUGGGCGUAAAGCGCACGUAGGCGGAUUGUUAAGUGAGGGGUGAAAUCCCAGGGCUCAACCCUGGAACUGCCUCUCAUACUGGCAGGCUAGAGUCUUGUAGAGGGGGUAGAAUUCCAGGUGUAGCGGUGAAAUGCGUAGAGAUCUGGAGGAACACCAGUGGCGAAGGCGACUUUCUGGUCUGUAACUGACGCUGAGGCGCGAAAGCGUGGGGAGCAAACAGG
rnacentral:misc_RNA from 1 species